rnacentral:tRNA from 1 species
GUGGCUGUAGCUCAGCCUGGUUAGAGCACCAGAUUGUGAUUCUGGGGGUCGCGGGUUCGAGUCCCGUCAGCCACCCCA